rnacentral:misc_RNA from 1 species
CUAGGUCCUUAUAUUUCUCAAGAACUCCUCGAAUUCCCAGGUCAAAUUCUUUCGACCAAGUUAAUUCAACAGUUUCUUGGUAUUGUCAAUUACUUCUGAGACUUUAUUCUUCAUAUCUCUAAAUAUGCCAGCCUACAUUCUAAGAUGUUUAAAAAAUGAACCCUGCCUAGAGUUCUGAACAAACAAUAGCUAUCAAAAGGUUGAAAGAGAUAGCGUAGGAAUCCUCCACCUUUAAAGAUUUCCAGCAUGG